rfam:Myotis brandtii contig187582, whole genome shotgun sequence.
CCAAAGGCCCUUUUCAGGGCCGCCCACCCCCUCUCGGAAGAGCUGU